rnacentral:rRNA from 1 species
CGACGCCGUGUGAGUGAAGAAGGCCUUCGGGUUGUAAAGCUCUUUCGCUAGGGAACAAGAAAGUCCGGAUAAUACCCGGAUGAUUUGAUGGUACUUGGUAAAGAAGCGCCGGCUAACUCCGUGCCAAGCAGCUGCGGUAAUACGGAGGGUGCAAGCAUUGAUCGGAAUUACUGGGCGUAAAGGGCGCGUAGGCGGUUUUAUAAGUCAGAUGUGAAAUUCCGGGGCUCAACCCCGGAGCUGCAUUUGAAACUAUAUAACUAGAGGAUAGUUAGGGAAAACGGAAUUCCACGUGUAGCGGUGAAAUGCGUAGAUAUGUGGAAGAACACCAGUGGUGAAGACGGUUUUCUGGGCUAUAACUGACGCUGAGGCGCGAAAGCUAGGGGAGCAAACAGGAUUAGAUACCCUGGUAGUCCUAGCCUUAAACGAUGCAUACUAGAUGUAGGUGGGCUCAACCCCUCCUGUAUCGAAGCUAACGCAUUAAGUAUGCCGCCUGGGGAGUACGCUCGCAAGGGUG